rnacentral:lncRNA from 1 species
UUAAGCUCAAACUAUUAGCCUAAAAUGCUUAAGCCCGCACAUAUUAGAAGAUUACUAGGAGAUGUGAAGCCCACCUCACACUUCCGACUGGUGAAUCGACUCUAAUACUAAAUGUAGUGACUCAACCCACUAGCAAUAAUAAAAUUAUAAUUAUUGGAUCCAAAUCAGCGGCCAAAAAUAUUUAUGCUCAGUUAUUAUUAUUAGGAUUUGUAAUCUCUUUUGUUCCUAAUCACAAUCUCGAUCCUAUCCGAUAUGAGAGUAUUGAAAUAUCAUAAAGAAAAAUACAGCUAAUUCACUUAAAUCGUACAAAUAUAGUGCCUAUUGGUCUUGAUUAUAACUCAACCCAAUCCAGCCUUCUACCACUUCAAAUGUCACACCCAUAUCAAAUGUGACUUAGCCCGCCUAAUUUAGCCUCCUACUAUUUCGGACGUGACUCAACCUAACUCAACCUCCCAUCACGAGGCAAGAUGCUCACCAUAUUAAGCUAAUAGCUCCUUUACCUAUAUAUUUUUUUACCUAUAUAUGUUUUUGGGAGUAAGGGUUUAAUGAGUAGAGCUACUAUAUUAUUAUAAGUAUAGAGGCCGUCUUCGUACUCAUAAGUCGAUUUUGACGAUUUACAAUAGAGUUUUCAAAUUG